GCCUGUCCGGGAGGCUUCCUGGUGAUUGGGUGCUGUGGUCCCCAAGCCGGCGAGUUCUUGUAGGUCAGCCUGUGGCAGUUUGAAUUUGGUGGCGGCGGUCGCACGUCCCGCUGGGAUCUGCGGGCCUUCAGCUCGAGCCCCGUUUCUGGACCAGCAGCCUCCAGACACGCGCCAUGGCUCCCGCUAGGAAGGGCAGCCGAGGGGUAGCCAAGACCAACUCCCUCCGCAGCCGCAAGCUCGCCUCCUUCCUUAAGGACUUCGACCGGGAAGGUAACCGGUGUCCUGUCGGUUCUGCCCUUUCGCAAGUGGAAACAGGAAACAAGCAAGGAGAAGAUGCUCAAGGAGAUAGAUGACCUGAACGAAGGCGCUGCGCGAGAUGAACUGGCUGGAGUACUUCGCCCUUGGAAAAAACAAAGGUGACCUGGAAGAAGCAGCAACAGUCCUGUGUAAAGAAUGCCCUGGGCUGGGCCCUGUGAAAGCACCAGGAUACGGAACUUGGGGUUCAGAACAGCAUGUGACAUGGUGCGUGCUCUCCCAAGCAUUACCUGCUCUGCUGCCACAGGACCCAAGUGUUGGCACAGCUAAUGGUCAUUUAUUUUGUUGUUUUUUUUUUUAAGAUUUAUUUAUGCACACAAAAACUGGUCUGUAGUCCAGUGGUGUGGAGAGUGAGAGGAUUCUCCAGAAACAGAAUGGGGAGCAGAACAGGCAGUUCUACUGAAAUACACUGCUGAGGGAAGCAGCGGGUGAGAUAAGAGAGGUCUGCUGUGCCAUGUGGGUCAGCUCCCUGGCCUGGGAUCGAACUCGUGCUGCAGUGGCUGGUAAGAGCUUGAUAGCACUGAGACUUUAAGCCCUGCACCACCAGUGAGGACCCUCCUAAUGGUGAUUUCUUAGCUGCAGGUCAAGCCAUUGCAACACUGUUACCCCAUCAGUGAGCUGAAUGGAGUUCUCUAUGGCGAAACCAACUCCAGGUCUGACACCGGGUUUGACUCAAGAGCCGCCUGGCCCAAAUCUGCAGCAGCAUACGGACUCACAGAUGAGGCUGCUCUUCCAAGAAGCCCAAUUGACAGGAUGGACCUCCAGUGGCACUUCUGGGACCCUGAAGAGGGCUCUUCCCUGCUGCCUUAUUUUUUAUUUUUUAUUUGAGUGUGAAGUCCCAGAGCAGGGACUGAUAUUCCUCUUGUUCCUGCUCAAGCUGUGUUUUUUAGAAGCAGUCUUAUUCUCCUUUUCUUGAGACUUUUGUACAGUGUUUGAGCAAUUUUAUCUGUAAGCUGAUUGACUGUAAUCAGAGCUACUAAGAGUUAAUCUGUUUUCAAUAAAGGGGAAGUUUUUUCUAAUCCAUACCCAGCCUGCCUGUCAUCUCUAAUCU